CACACACACCAGUUGAUUUCCUGAAAGAGUAGAGUUAAGUCGUUAACAGCACCGCCGGUACACCCAAACACCACAGUACCACCACACACACACACACACAUUUCCUGCACCAAGCUCAAGCAGCACUACUGAAUUAAGGCUCAGGCGGGUAGAUGGAAGCAAUAGAAGAAAGGAAAAAGGAUAAACAAAUGAGGGUGAAGAAGAGAGGAAGAAGGGAAGCAAAGGUGGAAGAGGAGCCAAGCCAUAGUAUUUAGCGCUACUCCAUGCCCAUCCACCCUGUCGCGCUGUGCUCACCACCACAGCCAGGAAGCCACCGUGCACCGUGCGUGGUGCUGCACACAGGGCGAGGCUACGUAUGGGUCCGCCACCCUCCAUAGUCCAUAGUGAAGAGCUGGUGCACAUUGCUAUAAAGAGAGGACUCCGUUGCAAGGCAGGCUUUAACCUUGGGAAAACUGGCAAUUUUAUCCCACAUCUGGAUUCAGCAAGUCCAGGCUGCACUACAACAAAACGAUAAAAGCGUUUAAAGGCUCUGACAGCUCCGUGACUCCGUCGCGCCGUCCAUGGACUCGAUUGCGUCAGCCCCGUCAUGUUUUCCGCCUUCCUCGCCGUCUCAGUUGUCACGCAGCCCCCUGACUCACCACGCAGGGACAUGAGAUUUCAGUGAUGAAGUUUGUGGUGGAGCAUGUGAGUAAGGAUUGAGGAUGGCUAGGCAGGCUGGGAUGGUCUCCCCGGCCACCCUGAUAGUAUCCACACCACUCCACUCUCCCUUAUUUCCACCGAGGGACACAGUGCACCUCAUCUCACGCAGGUAAGUUUGUGUACCUGUACGUGUG